rnacentral:rRNA from 1 species
UACAGAGGUGGCAAGCGUUGCUCGGUAUCACUGGGCUUAAAGGGCGCGUAGGCGGUGCGGUACGGUUUCGGUGAAAUCCCUCGGCCCAACCGAGGAACAGCCGGAGCUACGGCCGGACUAGACGGCAUCAGGGGACAGUGGAACUCCCGGUGGAGCGGUGAAAUGCGUAGAUAUCGGGAGGAACGCCGGUGGCGAAAGCGACUGUCUGGGGUGCCUGUGACGCUGAGGUGCGAAAGCGUGGGGAGCAAACAGG